AGCGAACGCUGGCGGCAGGCUUAACACAUGCAAGUCGAACGGGCACCUUCGGGUGUCAGUGGCAGACGGGUGAGUAACACGUGGGAACGUACCCUUCAGUUCGGAACAACCCAGGGAAACUUGGGCUAAUACCGGAUACGCCCUUCGGGAAAGAUUAUCGCUGAGGAUCGGCCCGCGUCUGAUUAGCUAGUUGGUAGGGUAACGGCCUACCAAGGCGACGAUCAGUAGCUGGUCUGAGAGGAUGAUCAGCCACACUGGGAC
rnacentral:rRNA from 1 species